rnacentral:misc_RNA from 1 species
UAUCUUUAGGCCAUCCUUUUUAGUCAUGUGCAUUGCGUGUGCCAUCUACCCMGCUCUGCAGGAAGUCAACGUACCUCAUGUGCCAGUUCGCCUCACCACCUCGAGCGGGAGGCAUAACCACAANNNNNNUGUGGUCGUCGCGCACACCUUAACAACACAACCCUUGGGCCCCCGUGCUAGCUGGGCUCUAGAAGUAUCACAAGCUCUCGCGAAUGCAGCAGACUUCGGGGACUUCGGCCCUCGGCCUAGACCUUGGUAGGUCAUUAAGCCACCCUCGU